GAUCCCUUCAGGUACAUCUGAUAAAAUUGGAAUGGUACAGAGAAGAUCAUGCCUGCACAAGGAUGACAUGCACAAAAAAAAAAAAGGAUCUGCAUUUU